rnacentral:miRNA from 1 species
GGCCUCAUCGGCAGGAAGGUAUUCCUUCCGGUUGAUGAGGCUGUUCCACCUCAUUGAUUGGAAGGAAUUCCUUCCAGUCGAUGGGGUU